UACAGAGGUCUCGAGCGUUGUUCGGAUUCAUUGGGCGUAAAGGGCGCGUAGGCGGCGGGGUAAGUCUGGUGUGAAAUCUCGGAGCUCAACUCCGAAAUUGCACUGGAUACUGCUCUGCUAGAGGGCUGGAGAGGAGAUCGGAAUUCACGGUGUAGCAGUGAAAUGCGUAGAUAUCAAGUGGAACACCAGUGGCGAAGGCGAGUCCCUGGACAACUCCUGACACUGAGGCACGAAAGCUAGGGGAGCAAACAGG
rnacentral:rRNA from 1 species